rnacentral:rRNA from 1 species
AAAGAUCCGUCGGAUGGGGAUAGGCUCGCGUGACAUUAGCUAGACGGCGGGGUAACGGCCCACCGUGGCGACGAUGUCUAGGGGUUCUGAGAGGAAGGUCCCCCACACUGGAACUGAGACACGGUCCAGACUCCUACGGGAGGCAGCAGUGAGGAAUAUUGGUCAAUGGCCGGAAGGCUGAACCAGCCAUGCCGCGUGAAGGUCAGUGCCCUAUGGGCGUUAAACUUCUUUUGUGCGGGAGCAAUAAUGGUCACGUGUGGCCAGACGGGAGUACCGUACGAAUAAGCAUCGGCUAACUCCGUGCCAGCAGCCGCGGUAAUACGGGGGAUGCAAGCGUUAUCCGGAUUUAUUGGGUUUAAAGGGUGCGUAGGCUGUGAGGUAAGUCAGCGGUGAAAUGCCCCCGCUCAACGGGGUGAAGUGCCAUUGAUACUGCCUUGCUGGAAUGCGGAUGCCGUGGGAGGAAUGUGUGGUGUAGCGGUGAAAUGCAUAGAUAUCACACAGAACACCGAUUGCGAAGGCAUCUCACGAAUCCGCGAUUGACGCUGAUGCACGAAAGCGUGGGUAUCAAACAGGAUUAGAUACCCUGGUAGUCCACGCUGUAAACGAUGAUGACUAACCGUCGGCGAUACACAGUCG